UUGGGGUUAGGAGUAUAUCGACUCCUAGAACUGUUUAUGAUCAAAAAAUAAUGGGGAGGAUAGCAGUUGAACUGCAAGGCAGGGUAAAUGAUUGCAGGGCACUCACUUACAGGCAGGACAUCAAGGCGAAGGAUAUUGAAAAGUACACAACACUUAAACUUCCAACACAUCAGCGGGGGUUAUGUUGUGAUUUCAACUCCAGAUGGUAUUUUGGAUCAUGAAGAAGCCAUUAGUAGGAAUGCGGGUGGACAGGCUUUUGGUUAUUUUCAUUAGACUUGUCUGUCCUUCUGCUCUUUAUUGGACGGGAAAAAGAGAAGACUGGUUCUUUGAGAUCUGGUUUAUCUGUGAACUUUGAACGACAAAAGCAAACUUCAAAGCAGAUCCUAGAAAAGCCCGGGUCUUUCUGCAGUGGAAAGUAUUUUUUAGCUACUGUCUCUUCAUUAUUUUGAUUUAAGAUAAGUGUAAAUAUCAUUUUAGAAUUUUGAUGCUGCAAACAUUAUUUGUCCCAAUUUGAAGUGCCACAGGUGGUAUGCCAAUGAAGGCUUUUCACCUAUGAUAUGCCCCAAUUUUCUUGUAACAGUACCAUUGUCAAAAUGGUCACUCAGCUACACCACCCCAAGAUAGAACAUAAUUUUAAGUGACAGCAACUCAGGCUC